ensembl:lncRNA
GUUUUCCUGGGGGAAUCUCUGCUUACAUGAGGCUUUCUGGAGGGAAGAAGUGGGACUUCAUAGGUCUUCAGAAUCAUGCUGAGAAAUAUUGGAAUGCAGUCCUCCAAACACCCCCAGGAAUCUUUUUCCUACUUGCGUUUCCUUUGAAUCAUUGCUACUGAAUGUGACUGAUGCUCUGAAAGUACGUUACAAAGAGACCUGGAAAGAAGUAUUAACUUUGCUACUACUGAAUUACAAGCAGCAGCCACAGGAAGGAGGAUGCAUGGAUGCUACCACAUUUCCAUCCCAGGCUUACAAGAGAGAAAUAAAUGAGGGAAGAUUUGGAGAGCUGAUCCAGAUCUUCAGUCUCAAGACCAACCCUGGAUCAUGAGGAGUAAGAGCUCCUUUCAGGCUGUAUUAAUUCAUGCUGUAGAGGCGUAAUCCCGGUUGGUCUUGAUGUUGCCAUAGAUGUGAGGAAUUCUUCUGCAACCCUGAGCCUGAUGCAGGCCCCAGUGGAAGAGCAGGAGACUGAGUGUUGGCUUCACUGUUCUAGCGUUUUUCCCUCCAACUGUUUCUAUAAUGCUGCAAACCUCUUCCAAAACUGUAUUCUAUCUCUGUUCCAUGGUUUGAAUCUUAAAAAUCUAAGUGGUAUAUAUUUUAACUGCUUUUUGUUACCUUUAGGUGUAGGAUGGAUGUUGCACCUUAUGAUAAUUCUGUAUGAGUUGAUUUUUGUAAGAAUUCAGAGUGAAAACUGGAAAAUAUUUUGUGGUUUGACGGAAAGAUUAGAAAUAGAGACUUAUGGUCCAAGUGGCUCAAUUUUAUUUUGGAUUUAUUUACAGAGGCUGAGAUAUUUGCAGUGGUUAUCAUGGUAAUACUCUUUUCAGUUUCUGGGCUAUUCUGUAGCCAGUUGAUUAAAUCAGGGAGAAAGAAAUGAAAGUGAAAACACAAUAAACCUAUUUUU